rnacentral:lncRNA from 1 species
CGCAAACAACAGAUCGGGUUUCUAAAAGCUAUUUCUUUUUCUUCUUCUUACCACCCCCCCCCUUUCUCUUCCUACUCCCUUCUCCUGAAUUCUGGGGAGAAAUUGGGGGAAGAGAGAAAGAGAAACUGAGAAGGAAAAGAAUGGAAGAAAAGAGGUGGAGAGAAAAAAAGACUCCUUAUGUACAUACUGGACCUUUGAUCAUAUCUGGGAUGGGAGCUUCCUGAAAGGAACUCCCACUUCCAAAGGCGAUCUGCACCAGCUCUGCAAUUUAGAAAUUUCCUUGGGGCACUGAAAGGUUAAGCAACUCGCCCUGGGUUACACAGAAUUCAGAGAAUCCUAAU